rnacentral:rRNA from 1 species
AUUGAACGCUGGCGGCAGGCCUAACACAUGCAAGUCGAACGAGUGGCGGACGGGUGAGUAAUGUCUGGGAAACUGCCUGAUGGAGGGGGAUAACUACUGGAAACGGUAGCUAAUACCGCAUACCAUCGGAUGUGCCCAUAUGGGAUUAGCUAGUAGGUGGGGUAAAGGCUCACCUAGGCGACGAUCCCUAGCUGGUCUGAGAGGAUGACCAGCAACAUUGGGACUGAGACACGGUCCAGACUCCUACGGGAGGGAGCAGUGGGGAAUAUGGCACAAUGGGCGAAAGCCGGAUCCAGCCAGGCCGCGGGUAUGAAGAAGGCCUUCGGGUUGUAAAGUACUUUCGGCGGGGAGGCGUUACCCGCAGAAGAAGCACCGGCUAACUACGUGCAAGCAGCCGCGGUAAUAC